UUGCCAUGUAGUUACCGACACCUCUCAGCUAUCUAUACGAUCGUGAAAUGAGGUACAUCUGCUUUCAUCAUUUCAAAAAUGGAUCAUGUUCUUGCAAUAACUUUUGCUGGCAUGUUGCGGAUCCUUGUCGAGGUAUGAAUUUUAAAAAUGGUUACAGAUAUAUUAUAUUGUUGAUACCCAUUAUGGCUUCUUUUUCACGAGAUAAUAAAGAUGAUGAAUCUCAUGAAAAUGCUCUAUAAUCAUAUUACAUAAUAUUGCGCUCUCAGUGUCAUCUUAUUUUUAAGAAAAUUGCUAUAACCCCAGAAGUGAAAUUUACAGUCUUUUAGUUUCAACCACCAUAUUUUGUUAUCUUGAAGAUUAAGAGAAGGAUCUAACCUUGAUUUCUCAAACACAUGAUAACAAAUUUGAAUUCUGCAGGAAGCAGAGUUUUUGUGCAACCAAAAUGCUAAAAGGAACAAUUUGUUUUUUCCAACAAACAAAACAUAAACAAUCAAUGGUGUAGUGAAUUUUUUUUAUUUUUUUUUUGCUUCUCAUUUGACCUAUCUAGGUGUAUGGUUACCAACCACCUGAUUAGUUUGAACACAUUCAUGCCUUUUUCGUGUGCAAACUUAUUCAUACUAAAUACCAAUCUUUGUGUAAUUACAUUUAAGUAGUUGAUGUUUUUUGACAAAUUUUAGUAGUUGAACUGGUUGCAUUAUUUAAACUAAUUAUUAUGGGAGAUUAAAUAAAAGCAUAUGACUAACACAGCUCAAUCAAUAUUCUGAAUUCAUGCACAAGAGUUGACAUUUCUUAGGAUCCAUAUUUCUAACAUAUAAUCAGCCACAUACAGGUUCUGCUUGUGUAAUUACAUUGGUGAAAAUAGAAGUUAAACUCAACACAAAUGCAAAUGAGAGCAGAAGAUUGCAGCUGAAGAGGCAGCCAUAUCUUGGCAUUCUUAUUGUCCGGGGACGAAGUUAGUAGCAUAUGCCCAUGCGUUGUUGGCGACAGGGUCAGCAAGAUGGUCGUAAAGGUUCUGAACAGGUCCCUUGCCGGUAACAAUGGCUUGAACAAAGAAACCAAACAUGGAGAACAUAGCCAAUCGGCCGUUCUUGAGUUCCUUCACCUUCAACUCUGCAAAUGCAUCAGGGUCAUCAGCAAGACCAAGAGGGUCAAAGGCACCACCAGGGUAAAGUGGGUCUAAUCCUUCACCAAGUGGUCCUCCACCAAUUCUGUAACCUUCAACGAAUCCCAUGAGCACAACCUGAGUAGCCCAGAUUGCAAGAAUGCUUUGAGCAUGGAUCAAGUUUGGGUUGCCCAAAUAGUCAAGGCCACCCUCAGAGAAGAUCUGGGCACCAGCCUUAAACCAGACUGCCUCGCCGAAUUUAACACCAUUCUUUUCAAGGAUUUCAGGGAAGGUACAUCCCAAUGCUCCAAGCAUAGCCCAUCUGCUGUGAAUUACUUCAAGCUCACGGUUCUUUGCAAAAGUUUCAGGGUCAGCUGAUAAGCCAGCUGUGUCCCAUCCGUAGUCACCAGGGAAUUCACCAGUCAGGUAUGAUGGAAUUUGUUCUGAGAAUGGACCCAAGUACUUGGGUCUGUCAGGGCCAUACCUGAUUUUAACAACAGAUCAUACCAAGUUAAAUACAGAAACAAAUUAUCACAACCUUACUUCAAAUGUUAGCACAGGAUGUUGCAUUUGAUUAGACCUUUACAAGACAAGAUGAUAACUAUUAACUAUAAGCUAUGAAGCACAAAUACACGGACACUUCCACACCGAUAAUAAUGUGAGAAAAUAACAUAAUUCAAUGUAAUCAUAUAUGUUGGUGUCGUGUUACGUGUCUGACACGACCUAAUUCAAGGAGUGUCCGUGAUUCAUAAAUUAUAGUCUAUAAGCAGUUAUAUCACCAGUUAGUUAUUAACAUUUGAUUUAAUCUAUUACAUUACACAUGCAUAAUCUAUGGCUUUUGGGUCUUCCCCAUCUAAGCUAAGAAUUUUUGUUACUAUGUUCUUAAGAGACAUGAUGAGACAUAAGAGUGUUAAAAACCAAAACAUUUUGAAUUUUUUUGACUGUAAUUGAACUACUUACCAAAUGCUUUCAGGAGCACUCUUCACAGUACGACGCAUGGUGAGGCGAGCUGGGCCAAAGUUACCAGCUCUCCUGAUGAACUCAUUUCCUUGUCUCAAACCAGUCUUACCAGUGAAUGCUGAUUGUUGGAUAGCAGAGGUGGCCAUGAGGGCUUUGAGGUUUCUUGCUGUUGUUCUCUUUAGUGUUAAUAGCUAGCUAGUGUUGUUGUGAAGAAUGAAGGAAAUGCUACAAAGGUUUAUAGAAGUGUUGAGAGUGGCCACGGUGGAAAUCAUAAGAUUUUGUGGAUUAGGAUAUGCACAAGUCAGCAACAUCUUAUUGGUGCUGAAUUUGGAUGUGGAUUCUCAACCUGAUAUUUUGUACUGAUAUUGUGGCUCUCUUUGUGCCAUUUGGACACUGUGAUCUUGUUGCUUAUACGUUUUGAAGAGGGUGAAUGUGAGCCAAGGAAAUUAGGUCCACCAAAGUUGAGAAAAACAGAAACUUGGAAUAGAGUUUGGAUUGGGUAUUAGGGAAAAUAAGAUAAGAUUUCCUGCUGUCAAAAUAUUGAUGUAGUUUUGCAGUUGGCUCGAAUGCUCGAUCGUAACCGUUGGAUCGAGAGACAAUGGUUCGAAUUUUAAUGAAGAUUUUGUUUUUUUAAAGAUAGAAAACAUCGAGUUUAAAAUUUGAACCGUAUGCUUUCAAUCUAACGACCACCGUAAAUCGACAACGUGACUGCAUGAAAUCAUUGACUUCAGACAAUCUUGGUCUGUAUUUGUGCUUGUGCUAUAGUGCAACUCCAUUGCCCAUCACAUCUUUUAUAUUUUGGAUUAAUUACUGUAAUUUUUAGAUCGAGUUAAUAGAGUUGUAGGAUAAUUUUGUAAAAAAAACUAAAAAAAUGUGUAUCUUCAUUUAAGCCUUAACAUUUUGUAUUCCUAAAAUCAUUUUUGGAUUUUUUUUUUGGAAUAUUAAUAAUGUAAGAGGCUAGGUUCUUCAAUUAUGAAUUCCAAAUUUAUUAAAAUUUUGUUGGAUAUGUGUAUCUUCAUAAAUAAAUAAAAUGAGAUGAUAUCAACAUAGGGUGACACAAAUGGUAGAUACUUGGGUC
rnacentral:lncRNA from 1 species